rnacentral:rRNA from 1 species
AUUGAACGCUGGCAGCAGGCUUAACACAUGCAAGUCGAGCGGAGAUGAGGUGCUUGCACCUUAUCUUAGCGGCGGACGGGUGAGUAAUGCUUAGGAAUCUGCCUAUUAGUGGGGGACAACAUUCCGAAAGGAAUGCUAAUACCGCAUACGCCCUACGGGGGAAAGCAGGGGAUCUUCGGACCUUGCGCUAAUAGAUGGGCCUAAGUCGGAUUAGCUAGUUGGUGGGGUAAAGGCCUACCAAGGCGACGAUCUGUAGCGGGUCUGAGAGGAUGAUCCGCCACACUGGGACUGAGACACGGCCCAGACUCCUACGGGAGGCAGCAGUGGGGAAUAUUGGACAAUGGGCGGAAGCCUGAUCCAGCCAUGCCGCGUGUGUGAAGAAGGCCUUUUGGUUGUAAAGCACUUUAAGCGAGGAGGAGGCUACCUGGAUUAAUACUCUAGGAUAGUGGACGUUACUCGCAGAAUAAGCACCGGCUAACUCUGUGCCAGCCGCCGCGGUAAAAC